rnacentral:rRNA from 1 species
AGCAGCAGCCGCGGUAAUACGGAGGGGGCUAGCGUUGUUCGGAAUUACUGGGCGUAAAGCGCACGUAGGCGGCUUGGUAAGUUAGAGGUGAAAGCCCGGAGCUCAACUCCGGAAUUGCCUUUAAGACUGCCGAGCUAGUAGGUGAGAGAGGUAAUUGGAAUUCCGAGUGUAGAGGUGAAAUUCGUAGAUAUUCGGAAGAACACCAGUGGCGAAGGCGGCCAUCUGGGACAACACUGACGCUGAGGCACGAAAGCGUGGGGAGCAAACAGGAUUAGAUACCCGCGUAGUCCCUGUCUCUUAUAC